rnacentral:rRNA from 1 species
CUCCUAGUACGAGAGGACCGGAGUGGACGCAUCACUGGUGUUCGGGUUGUCAUGCCAAUGGCACUGCCCGGUAGCUAAAUGCGGAAGAGAUAAGUGCUGAAAGCAUCUAAGCACGAAACUUGCCCCGAGAUGAGUUCUCCCUGAGACUAUAAGUCUCCUGAAGGAACGUUGAAGACGACGACGUUGAUAGGUCGGGUGUGUAAGCGCAGCGAUGCGUUGAGCUAACCGAUACUAAUGAACCGUGAGGCUUAACCUUACAACGCCGAAGCUGUU